rnacentral:misc_RNA from 1 species
GGGUGGUAACAUCGCACACCAUAUAGGAAUUCGAUUAGGGUUGGAAAAGUUUGAGGGUGUGAAAAUUGAUGGGAUUUUCCUUGCGUGUCCAUAUUUCUGGGGAAAGGAUCGUAUUGAGGGUGAGGAAGAAAACUUGCUUGCCAAGGAUUUCGUUGAGGACCUUGUGUUGAUUGGUAAUCCCAAUAGCACGGGGUUAGAUAAGGAUCCUAUUGACUUAGGUUCCAAGGAUCUCUUUGAGAAGCUAUGGUUGUUUGUGAAUCCCACCAGCUCUGGAUUAGAUGAUCCGUUGAUUAACCCGGAAAAGGAUCCG